rnacentral:rRNA from 1 species
GUGGGGAAUAUUGGACAAUGGGCGAAAGCCUGAUCCAGCCAUGCCGCGUGUGUGAAGAAGGUCUUCGGAUUGUAAAGCACUUUAAGUUGGGAGGAAGGGCAGUAAGUUAAUACCUUGCUGUUUUGACGUUACCGACAGAAUAAGCACCGGCUAACUUCGUGCCAGCAGCCGCGGUAAUACGAAGGGUGCAAGCGUUAAUCGGAAUUACUGGGCGUAAAGCGCGCGUAGGUGGUUUUGUAAGUUGGAGGUGAAAUCCCCGGGCUCAACCUGGGAACUGCCUCCAAAACUGCAUGACUAGAGUACGGUAGAAGGUAGUGGAAUUUCCUGUGUAGCGGUGAAAUGCGUAGAUAUAGGAAGGAACACCAGUGGCGAAGGCGACUACCUGGACUGAUACUGACACUGAGGUGCGAAAGCGUGGGGAGCAAACAGGAUUAGAAACCCUAGUAGUCC